UGCAGUCGAAGCCUCUUUUUCCCCGGAGCUUGCUCCACCGGAAAAAGAGGAGUGGCGAACGGGUGAGUAACACGUGGGUAACCUGCCCAUCAGAAGGGGAUAACACUUGGAAACAGGUGCUAAUACCGUAUAACAAUCAAAACCGCAUGGUUUUGAUUUGAAAGGCGCUUUCGGGUGUCGCUGAUGGAUGGACCCGCGGUGCAUUAGCUAGUUGGUGAGGUAACGGCUCACCAAGGCCACGAUGCAUAGCCGACCUGAGAGGGUGAUCGGCCACAUUGGGACUGAGACACGGCCCAAACUCCUACGGGAGGCAGCAGUAGGGAAUCUUCGGCAAUGGACGAAAGUCUGACCGAGCAACGCCGCGUGAGUGAAGAAGGUUUUCGGAUCGUAAAACUCUGUUGUUAGAGAAGAACAAGGAUGAGAGUAACUGUUCAUCCCUUGACGGUAUCUAACCAGAAAGCCACGGCUAACUACGUGCCAGCAGCCGCGGUAAUACGUAGGUGGCAAGCGUUGUCCGGAUUUAUUGGGCGUAAAGCGAGCGCAGGCGGUUUCUUAAGUCUGAUGUGAAAGCCCCCGGCUCAACCGGGGAGGGUCAUUGGAAACUGGGAGACUUGAGUGCAGAAGAGGAGAGUGGAAUUCCAUGUGUAGCGGUGAAAUGCGUAGGUAUAUGGAGGAACACCAGUGGCGAAGGCGGCUCUCUGGUCUGUACUGACGCUGAGGCUCGAAGCGUGGGAGCAACAGGAUAGAUACCUGGUAGUCACGCGUA
rnacentral:rRNA from 1 species